ACGGAAGGCAGCAGUGGGGAAUAUUGCACAAUGGGGGAAACCCUGAUGCAGCGACGCCGCGUGAGUGAAGAAGUAUUUCGGUAUGUAAAGCUCUAUCAGCAGGAAAGAAAAUGACGGUACCUGACUAAGAAGCCCCGGCUAACUACGUGCCAGCAGCCGCGGUAAUACGUAGGGGGCAAGCGUUAUCCGGAUUUACUGGGUGUAAAGAGAGCGUAGACGGCUUUGCAAGUCUGAAGUGAAAGCCCGGGGCUCAACCCCGGAACUGCUUUGGAAACUGUAGAGCUAGAGUGCAGGAGAGGUAAGUGGAAUUCCUAGUGUAGCGGUGAAAUGCGUAGAUAUUAGGAGGAACACCAGUGGCGAAGGCGGCUUACUGGACUGUAACUGACGUUGAGGCUCGAAGGCGUGGGGAGCAAACAGGAUUAGAUACCCUGGUA
rnacentral:rRNA from 1 species